rnacentral:rRNA from 1 species
UACGAAGGGGGCUAGCGUUGCUCGGAAUCACUGGGCGUAAAGCGCACGUAGGCGGAUCUUUAAGUCAGGGGUGAAAUCCCAAGGCUCAACCUUGGAACUGCCUUUGAUACUGGGGAUCUCGAGUCCGGAAGAGGUGAGUGGAACUGCGAGUGUAGAGGUGAAAUUCGUAGAUAUUCGCAAGAACACCAGUGGCGAAGGCGGCUCACUGGUCCGGAACUGACGCUGAGGUGCGAAAGCGUGGGGAGCGAACAGG